GCCAGGUGUAGUGGUGUACGCCUGUGGUCCCAGCUACUUGGGAAGCUAAGAUGGGAGGAUCGCUUGAGCCCAGGGAUGCAGAGGUUGCAGUGAGCCAUAAUGGCACCACUGCACUCCAGCCUGGGCGUCAGAGCGAGACCCUAUCUCAA
rfam:Homo sapiens chromosome 9, GRCh38 reference primary assembly.